CGUCGUAGCCUUCCUCUGGAUUAGAAGAAAAAGGACACAACAGUAUGAGCUUGGAGGAAGUACGGACAACAGACCAAAGCUGGGAAUGUGUCCAGUUAAUGACAGCUCAUCAGCUGCAACACAAAGAGAAACGGCAGGAGAGCAGGAUGACCUUCACUACGGCAGCAUCUGCU